GGUCAAGUUAUUAAGGGUGCAGGGCGGAUGCCUUGGCACUAGGAGCCGAUGAAGGACGUGAUAAGCUGCGAUAAGCUUCGGGGAGUUGCACGUAAACUUUGAUCCGAAGAUUUCCGAAUGAGGAAACUCACUUAGAGUAAUGUCUAAGUAUCAUUAAGUGAAUACAUAGCUUAAUGAGGGGAACUCAGGGAACUGAAACAUCUAAGUACCUGAAGGAAGAGAAAGAAAUUCGAUUCCGUAAGUAGCGGCGAGCGAACGCGGAUUAGCCCAAACCAAUAAAGUUUUCUUUAUUGGGGUUGCGGACAUAUCAUAACGAAGAGGUAUCGUAAUUGAAGAGGUUUGGAAAGACCCACCACAGAAGGUAAUAGUCCUGUAUGUUAAACGAGAAGACUUCAGAUAUGAUCCAGAGUACCACGGGACACGUGAAACCCUGUGGGAAGCAGGAGGGACCACCCUCCAAGGCUAAAUACUACCUAGUGACCGAUAGCGUAUAGUACCGUGAGGGAAAGGUGAAAAGAACCCCGGGAGGAGUGAAAUAGAACCUGAAACCCUGCACUUACAAGCUGUGGAAGCACAUUUCUUGUGUGACCGCGUACUUUUUGUAGAACGGGCCAACGAGUUACGUUAAGUAGCAAGGUUAAGCACUUAAGGUGUGGAGCCGUAGCGAAAGCGAGUUUUAACUGAGCGUUCAGUUACUUGACGUAGACCCGAAACCGGGCGACCUACCCAUGAGCAGGAUGAAGCGAAAGUAAAAUUUCGUGGAGGUCCGAACCCACGAGCGUUGAAAAGCUCGGGGAUGACUUGUGGGUAGCGGUGAAAUUCCAAUCGAGCCCGGAGAUAGCUGGUUCUCCCCGAAAUAGCUUUAGGGCUAGCCUCAAGGUGAGAGAUACGGAGGUAGAGCACUGAAUGUCCUAGGGGGUAUUGCACCUACCGAAGACUAUCAAACUCCGAAUGCCGUCAUCUUAUACUUGGGAGUCAGACUGUGGGUGAUAAGAUUCAUAGUCGAAAGGGCAACAGCCCAGAUCGUCAGCUAAGGUCCCUAAAUGUAAGUUAAGUGGUAAAGGAUGUGGGAUUGCACAGACAACCAGGAUGUUGGCUUAGAAGCAGCCACUCAUUCAAAGAGUGCGUAAUAGCUCACUGGUCGAGUGAUCCUGCGCCGAAGAUUUCCGGGGCUAAAACUUACUACCGAAGCUACGGCAUCAGUAAUGAUGGGUAGGGGAGCUUCCCAUACGGGUUGAAGCAUGACCGUAAGGACAUGUGGACAGUAUGGGAGUGAGAAUGUUGGCAUGAGUAGCGAGAUGUGGGUGAGAAUCCCACAGGCCGUAAACCCAAGGUUUCCAGGGGAAGGUUCGUCCGCCCUGGGUUAGUCGGGACCUAAGCUGAGGCCGAAAGGCGUAGGUGAUGGACAACAGGUUGAUAUUCCUGUACUACCGAUAACCGUUUGAGAGAAGGGAUGACACAGUAGGAUAAGCUAAGCACACUGUUGGUUAUGUGUGCCCAAGCAUUGAGGCAGUCAAAGUAGGCAAAUCCGCUUUGAUAAUGCUGGGAUGUGAUGGGGAGCGAAAUUUAGUAGCGAAGUAGCUGAUUUCACACUGUCAAGAAAAGUCUCUAUCGAGGUUAAAGGUACCCGUACCGCAAACCGACACAGGUGGGUGAGGAGAGUAUCCUAAGGCCAGCGAGAGAACUGUUGUUAAGGAACUCGGCAAAAUGACCCCGUAACUUAGGGAUAAGGGGUGCCACCAUCAGGUGGCCGCAGAGAAUAGGCCCAAGCGACUGUUUACCAAAAACAUAGGUUUCUGCUAAGUCGCAAGACGAUGUAUAGGAGCUGACGCCUGCCCGGUGCUGGAAGGUUAAGGGGAUCUGUUAGAGCAAUCGAAGCAGUGAACUUAAGCCCCAGUAAACGGCGGCCGUAACUAUAACGGUCCUAAGGUAGCGAAAUUCCUUGUCGGGUAAGUUCCGACCCGCACGAAAGGCGUAACGAUUUGGGCACUGUCUCAACAACAGACUCGGUGAAAUUGUAAUUCCGGUGAAGAUGCCGGAUACCUGCGACAGGACGGAAAGACCCCAUGGAGCUUUACUGUAGCUUGACAUUGGGUUUUGGUACUACAUGUACAGGAUAGGUGGGAGGCUUUGAAACCAGGACGCCAGUUUUGGCGGAGCCAUCCUUGGGAUACCACCCUUGUAGUACUGGGACUCUAACCAUAGGCCAUGAAUCUGGUCUUGGGACACUGUCAGGUGGGCAGUUUGACUGGGGCGGUCGCCUCCCAAAAGGUAACGGAGGCGCUCAAAGGUUCUCUCAGUACGGUCGGAAAUCGUACGUAGAGUGUAAAGGCAAAAGAGAGCUUGAUUGCAAGACAUACAGGUCGAGCAAGGAUGAAAAUCGGACUUAGUGAUCCGGUGGUUCUGCGUGGAAGGGCCAUCGCUCAACGGAUAAAAGCUACCCUGGGGAUAACAGGCUUAUCUCCCCCAAGAGUCCACAUCGACGGGGAGGUUUGGCACCUCGAUGUCGGCUCAUCACAUCCUGGGGCUGUAGUAGGUCCCAAGGGUUGGGCUGUUCGCCCAUUAAAGUGGUACGCGAGCUGGGUUCAGAACGUCGUGAGACAGUUCGGUCCCUAUCCGUCGCAGGCGUAGGAAAUUUGAGAAGACCUGUCCUUAGUACGAGAGGACCGGGAUGGACGUACCUCUGGUGUACCAGUUGUUCUGCCAAGGGCAUGGCUGGGUAGCUAUGUACGGAAUGGAUAAGCGCUGAAAGCAUCUAAGCGCGAAGCCAACUUCAAGAUAAGAUUUCCCACCGCAAGGGUAAGAUCCCAGAAAGACUAUCUGGUUGAUAGGUCGAAGGUGUAAGUGCAGCAAUGUAUUUAGCUUAUCGAUACUAAUAGGUCGAGGACUUGACCAA
rnacentral:rRNA from 1 species